rnacentral:misc_RNA from 1 species
GUUGGUGAACCAGCGGAGGGAUCAUUACCGAGUUUACAACUCCCAAACCCCUGUGAACAUACCUAUACGUUGCCUCGGCGGAUCAGCCCGCGCCCUGUAAAAAGGGACGGCCCGCCCGAGGACCCUAAACUCUGUUUUUAGUGGAACUUCUGAGUAAAACAAACAAAUAAAUCAAAACUUUCAACAACGGAUCUCUUGGUUCUG